rnacentral:lncRNA from 1 species
AGCAUGUGAAAUAAGAGUAGUGAAAGACAUUGACAUUACAAAACAAUUAUCUCCAUAUUUCUUACUCAUGUUUUAUGACUUUUAAUCCAUAGUUUGCAAUACCUUAAGCAUCAUAAUAAUCAUUAUUUGGCCUUAAUGUCAUAUCACACCAAUCCACAUUCGACGGCCUUUUAGUAUCAACCCACAUAUCCUAACAUUACCUAUAGAGUCAUAAAUUAACAACACAAAUUUUCAAUUAAACCUCUCAAGGUCUAAAUAACAACACAAAAAACAUUAAAAUUUAAAACAAUAACAAUAUACAUGUACUAAAAUUUUAAUUUUUGUUGGAACCCUUCAAUUCUCAUGGUCCAUCUAAACACUAUAUUCAAAAGUUUAUACUGAACUAGAACUCAACAAAAUUGGUUUUAAAAAAAACGCCAUGAUACUUAAAACCAUAAGAAUACACAUAAUUUAUACUGAAAAACAUAAAUCAAGCAAAAUGAUGCAGUAUCAAAUUUUGAACAGUUGUUGAAAUAAAGGAACAAUUACCCAAAUUCGAGAGUCAGUUGCAUCUUCAGUUAACUCGGGAAAACCUGCAAAUAUUAAAAGCCCCAAUCAUUAAAACCUAAUUGCUAAUUGUAUGUACUGUCGUAGUGUACUGAACUGAAUUAAAAUUUAAUACCUUAAUUGGGUUACGGCUUUUCAGAUGGAGAAGAAGAGACUGCGUGAUGAAAAAGUGGGAGAAAUUAGAAUGGAGAAUAAUACUUUUGAUAGGGAGAGAGAAAUAAAUAGAUUUUCCGGUUCUUCUCUUUGGAAUCUCUACCCCGGUCCAUGGCCAUGGCUAGUUGGG